UCGGGUAUGGUGUAACGGCUAACAUUGCCGCCUUUCAUUUCUUCUAUAGCAUUAAUGUUUGCGCGGCAGCUCGGGGUUCGAUUCCCCGUACCCGAA